CCUAACGAAUUGAGCAGCAAACACCCCAUCUUUCUCUCUUCUUUUCUCCAUCUCUAUCCUCUUUGUAUCUUUUCUUCUCCUAAUUUCUUUUUCUUCUCUCAUAUCCCUUUUUGUUCUUUUGUUCUAAUAUCCUCUUUUUCUUUGUCUUAUCUUGUCAUAGAUGAUAUAGAAUCAAAGGAACAUAAAGAAUCUCGAGAUGUUGGCCUUAUUCUUUACAUGAUCAUUAUCUAGAUCAGUGCGUGAUAUUGAAGCUGGGCUCUUUUUAGGAUCUAUUGAAGGCCUUCAGGAAGAAGAAAAGAAGGGGAUAGCCAUUGAUGAGGGCAAAAAUCAUUAGCAAGGAGAGCUUGAAGGGUGAUGCUAUGCUCCGCAAUCUCGUUAUCUCUAUCAUCAACUUCUCCAACCAUGUGGAAUUUUUGCAAGAUCUAUUGUCGCUCUAGGUAUUUCUUUUUCUGUUGCCUUUUUUUUGGUUGUGAUGCAUUGGAUGUUUUAUUCUCUUUAUUAGUUUUUGUUCUUUUCCUAUUUUAGAUCUUUUGGGUAGAUGGUGUUCUUGUUGUAGUUCUUGUGUUAGGAACUCAUUUUGAUGAAACAAUGGAAAGGAGGUUAGAUCCAUUGAGAAAAGAAACUAAUGAUCUAUAAAAACUAGCACUUCUUGGUUUUGAUUUAUGUUUUUGUUCUUCUAUUAAGGAUUGGAGUCUACGAUUUUUAAUAAGUUAUAGAGCAUUAGAUAUAUUGAAAGAUGGUAUUUUGGUAGCACGAAUGCUAGCUUUAAGGGUUUGGGUUGUGAAUUUUUUUUAGAUUUGUUGUCUUCCUUUUAUAAUUUCCUUCCAAUCUUUUCCUCUCCCUCAGAUGGGUGUUGAUAGUUUUUCUCUCUAUAAAACUAGAACUUUUCUAGGUAGUCAUUCUUUGAUAAUUAAAAUAAUUUAUUUCUUAAUUUAUUUCCAUCUGGAUCUUGAGAUCAUAAUUUCUUGAUUCAGAAUCUAGAUCUUGAGACUUGUACUUGAUUUAUCAGUUAAUUGAUACAUCCUACUUUCUUUUCUUUUGGAGAUUUUGGAGAUUAGAUCUUGAGAUCAGUUUGAUUAAUUUAAGUGAACUAUUCCAUUUGUCUCUCUUUUUCUUUGGCUGAUCGAUUGAAUUUAUCAAGGUCGGAUUGGCCUUUUUCUGAUCAAAUAAUGUUCAUGAACGAAAUAUUGAUCUAUUUAUUAAAUUACUUAAGCAGGUCAGAUCAGCUUAUCUACUUAUUAAAUAUAAUCGAUUUCAAUUUUAAAGCUUGACCUAUUUAAUAACAAGCUAGAUUUAGAUUUACUACUUUCUAACCCAAUUAGCAUCUAACCUAACUAUAUAUAUCCCAUCCCCACAUGAUGGCCACUCAUAAAUGAAAUAAUGUAAUUGAUAGAAACAUAUUAGAGGGUAUUUUAUUCUUGUUUUAUCAUGAAAAUAGUUUACAUAGUAAAUUUUAGUGUACCCACUAGGCCUUUUGUUUUUUUUUCCUUGGAAGCAAUAGCAUGCCCACUAGUUAUUAUUCUAUAUCAAAGACAUGGCGGCAGAGCUAAAAUCUUUAAUGUAAGAGUGUGAUCUAUUACCCCAAUAUGUAUUGAUCUCUAAAAAAAGAAAUACUUGGUAUGUCAAACAUACAACUACAAAAAAAUAAAAAGAAAAUCAUUGAUAAGUUUUUUUCAAAGUUUUAUAUAACUUUUUUAUUUGGCAAACAACUUUUUCAUUUUCAUUCUAUGGCUUAAAUAUUAUGAUAUUCUUGGAUAAGUAAACUUUGAUAAAAAAUUGCCCACAUUUUUGUCAUUCCCUCAGUCUUAGUGCAAGAUACCAAGGUAAGUUAAAUAAAAUAAAAUAAAAUAAAAUAAAAAGUGUAGAUUCUGAAGGAGAUGGACCUAUUGGUGCCCCCCCCACUAAUGACCCCAAUGAACAUGACUAAAAUUGAAGACUAGAUCUAGAUCAGUCAUGAUAUCAUCAGCUUAAAAUCCGUAUAUGACCAAUCAAAAGUGUCCAUCCACUUCACUGAAUAAAAUAAGGCCUUUCUUGGACUAUAGCUUGGGGUGAGGGUGGAUGGAACUCCCACCUGUUAUAGUAGAGAUAUACAAAGUUUAACUUAGAUCGAUUUAAGGUCAAUUUAAAUAUUGAAUCAAUUUUUUUAAAAUCAAAAUCAAACCAACCAUAUAAAAAAUCAGUUUAAAUCAAAUAAAAAAAAUUGAUUCAAUUCGAUUCGAUUUAUCAGAUUAUGAGCUAUUAGGCUUAUAUUAAAUAGGCAACUUAUGGGAUGAACUAUAUGGAUAGUUUAUAGGAUGGGCAAAAUAGAAAAGUUAUGAGAUUGGCUAAAUGGGUUAAAAAUAGAAGCAAUAAAUCGAUAGAGCUAGGACAAAAUAUAAAUAAAUUGAUGGUGGUUCAUAUAUAAUAUAAACGCAAGGUUAGUGGGGGUCGUCUAGAUGCCGCAAUGGUCAAGGAUGCCCACGAUAAGGAUACAAUGGGGGAGGGCAAGGAUCCGAUUGAUGAGGAGCUGGACAUGUUGCCUCCAGUCCUCUAUGUGCUUAUGGGUAAGUUUCACGAUCUUCUUGGAUCAAGUCCAACUUUGCUUGCUAUCUAGGGUUUCGGAGGAUUCUUCUUCUAGGGUUUCUAUAAAUGGGGAUCGGUAGUUUAAGGCUGGGGGUAGAGAUGAGGGGAGAAGGAGAGAGAAAUUAGAGGUGGAUGGAGUAGUCAAAAUUGAGGUUGGGCUAUCACAUAGAGGGAUCGGCAAUGAUGUAUUGGAAUCCAGGAGACUCAAAAUUAUCUUUAAUGAUGAAUGAGGUGGAGAGGAUGGCAGUGGCAAUGGUGAUAGUUUACCAGAGAUUCAAAUAGGCAUAGAGAUGGCAAGAGAGGCUGUUGGCAAAGAGGGAGAGGGGUGAUCCCACAUGUGUCAUGAAUGGCACAAGAGAAAAGCAAUGAGAAAAAGAAAGGAAUGGAAGAUCAAGAAGAAAAAAAAUAUUAUUUUAUCCAAAAUAGAGGAACAGUUGAGGUAGUUGGAAUGGCUGAUGUUGCAGGCAAUCUAUGGCAUUAUUUAUAGUUGAUCUUGGUGGAGGCUAUAAUUUCUCCUAGCUUGAGCUUGGGGUGGAGGGGAGCCCAUACUUUGAAUUUUUGGUCUCUUAUAUGAAGUGGUUGGACUUACAUUCAAAUUGAAAAGUAGAAAAGACUAAAGAGAAAAAAUAUUAUCAAAGUUUUAUUUUUGAAUAAAUUAUCAAAAUUUUUUUGAGAUUUACAUUUAUUAUAGUUAUACCUAAUAGUUUGUAAAACCAACACUUAUGCUCACUUAAAUUAACGAUAUUAGUGAAACCAUUUAUCUUAUAUGAAAAGUCAAAAUCAUCCUUUAGCAAAAUAGGAUAUGCAUUUUCUUAUAUUCUUGGAUGGCUAUUGUGUCACUUAAAGUUAUUUAUCUUUUUUUUUUUCUCAGAUGUAGCAUUUGUGUUCUAUUUAAAGUUAACGGCUUGACUAACUUUAUAUUAAGUUAUGGGCUCAAGUGUUGGAUAAAAAUAAACCUCAAGAGCUCAAGCUUAGGUUUUUCAAAUUAUUGAUUGUAAGUAUAAUCAACCACUAAUCUUUGAGCGGUUUUUGUAAUUUAUUCUUCAUCUUUUUUUUUUUUAUUUAUGGGAUGGACGUAUCUCAUAUCUUGAUUUUGUCAUCACAUGCAUGCUUUUUUCUAUUAUUGAUUGCACCCCUCUCUCUCGAAUUAAGAGAGGGGCUAUGUGCUAUGUGUGUAAUUUGUGUUCUUGUAAUGGAUGUUUCGGCACAUGACCAACCAAACACCAAGGAUGCUCCAUUGUUUGAUAUUAUAUUCAAUCAAUAUCCCUUCAAGUCCCUGAACUUUUACAUUAGGAGAAUACUAGUACUAAUGAUCGAGUGCUUGGGUUGAUAGCUAUCAAAGCCUAGUAAAAAUGUUGACUACGUGACUCUGUUAAUACUUAAUUAAUUGCACUAAGCAUGAUGAAGAUUGUUUUUACCAACGUCAUGUGCUAAGUCCUGUACUGAGAGAACCAACUUAUAAUGCAAUUAAUGUCAAAUAAAAAUGAUAUUGGAAUUUAUUAUUUCGUUUGAUGACGGACUGUAGGCAAGGCCAGAUUUACAUAUAUUUUUUUAGCUAAGUGUCUACUUAAGUAUGUUAAUAUGCAGCCUUCUCAUCCUAUAGUGAUGGCUUUUCUUAGUCAUGUAGUACAUCCUUCUCACCUAUUGCACAUGCAUGGUUGUUACUAUAUUUCUAAAUAGGAUCUAUUGCCGAACGAUAGCAUAAUCACGAAGCUAAAUCAAGGGCGGAACUCUUUCUUUGAUAACUCACUCACAUUUUUAGAAAGAUAGCAUUGUUAACUAACCACUAGAUCCAAAUGAUUAAGGACGUUCUUUAUUUGAUAAAAUACACUUCUAUUUUUAGAUGGAUGCUGUUGUUAACUCAUCAUUUCACCCAAAAUGAUGAAGCUCUUUGGUGGAUAACAGAAAAUGCUUUUGGGUACAUAUUGGUCCACACUAGAAGUUCCCUAAGCCCAUAUUUGGCAACUCAUUUUGUUAACCAUAGGACAAUAAUCAAAGAUGGGGAUGAUGCCAUAGACAAUUGUUUUUUCCUAGGUUGGCAUCCUCUCUAGUUUAUCUUUUUUACCAUGUAAUCCAAUCGAGGCCUUGAGAUUACCCCAGCACAACAUGUCAUCAUUAGAAAAGUUGAUGAAUCUUAAGCUUCCAGUGCAGUAAAAUAUAAGCAUUCACAGUUCCAAGUUUAACACAUAACGCUCUAGAGGAAAAGGGUCCUCUGAAGCCAUUGUCAUUCACAAAAUGAGUCCUCAGUCAAGCCCACAUACCAAAGCCUAGCUCUAGGUAUUAGGCAUACGAGCUAAACUUAGGUAUUAAGCAUACUGGCCUGGCUGGCCAGCAAAAGCUUGAAGCCUUUGAGCAGUCUCAGGCCUAAUGUUUAAGACAGCCAGGCCAGGCUAGGCCUCAAAAUUAGGCCCAUUUAAUAAUCGAUCGGGCUCAAGAUUGGAGACUAAAGCCUUGUUUUUUCUUCCUUAGAUUGCGUUUACUUUUGAUGUGUUUGUAGAUCUAAUUAACAAUUGUCAUUGAUAUGCAAAAUUCAUGAGAUAAUAGGCGACUUUUAGCAAUAUUUCAUUAUUCAUAUUCAGUAAUUUUAAAAUAUUUUAAAUAAUUUUUUAUUGUUUUUAAUAUUUUUUAAAAAAAAAAUUGACACGAAGCCUAAGACUAAGCAGAAAGCUUAGAGUAAGAGCUGGGCUCGAGCUUAGGAGGGAGGCCCAAAUCUAGACCAGGGCCUAAGAAAAUUGUGUUGACCUUUGGAAAAGUUACUCGAGCUCGACUAAGCCUGAACCAUGAAGAUCAAGCUCAGAUUUGAUUCUCAUAACAAGAUUAUCUCUCUUCCAUAUCACUUACGAAAAUCCAAACAAUUGAAACCAAUAGCUCAAUCUAGGAGUAAAUGCUCAGAUUGAGUACAUUUUAGAUCUAGGUUGAUCAAUCGAUGUUAAAAUUUAUGAGUAUCAAAAAAAUUUCUCCCUAGACUUCUAAUUUUCAAAUUAAUACAUAAUUAAAUUGGACUUGCUGCACUUGUUAAAGGUUGGAUGUGAAUGAUAUUUGAAAUAAAAUUAUAAAAAUAUCUCUUUGAUGAUCUUCGAUGCUUCUCCUUUUAUUAUUGAAUCAAUUUUUAGAAUAUUAUUUUUUGAUAAAGAUAUUGUAAUCAGUGUUAUAGUUUAACAAUUUUUUAUUCUUUUAUUAGAAGAUGGAUUCUAACACAUGCAUGCAAUCAAUCAUCAAGUCAAGAUAUUAGACUUUUAGAUAAACAUUCAAUUUUGGAAAAUUAAAGAAAUAGUGGACAAAAAUAGCUUGAAAAUAUUAACCAAAAAGAAGAAAUCUCUUAUUCACCAUUUAGGCAAAUAGAAGGUUCACAUCACCUACAUAAAGGCGGUUUACAAUAUAUUUAAAAAAAAUACAUAGAUGAUUAUUUCAAUGAAGUAGAGGCUUUAAUAUUUCUUUGUUUCAUAAUCCUCGCAUCAUCAAGUCUAUUGCUGAUGGUGACUUAAAUCGCCAUGCCCCCCUUGAUCGGUAGCAAUUCUGAACUCUCAUGCAUACCGCCCUGAAUUGUGGAUAGAAACAAGCAAUCUGAAGAACGGAAAGACGUAUAGAUAUGUUAGAGAGCAUGAAAUAUGGUGGUAAAUUCUCAUAUUAGAAUUUUGUCUAUCUUGGACUUAAAGUUACAAUUUUAAUUAGAACAAACAAGAAUUCUUAUAUGUAGCAAGAGGGAAAUCCCAGCCUUUUAAAAUCUGGAUUUAAAUUACAAGGAAUACAUUUUGGCUCCUUCAGAGGCCUACAAAUAUAAUUUUUAAAACUACCACUUGCAUCUAGAAAUAGCAAAACUGUACAAUACUUUGAAUUCCUUCUUGUUCCCUUAAUAUUUAAAUUAACACUUAAAUUUGCUUUAGAAACAAUAAUAAUAUGGGACUUUGGAUUAAAGAUAUAAAAGAUAUGUAAAAGGAAUUUGAAGCAUCCUUACAUGACUCCACGGGGUGGAGAUGGAAGUUGGGAUCAGACUGUGAGCCUUAUGAAGAGCCUGUUAGCACCAUGGUAGCGACCACCAGGAUCAUUACUGGUUGAUGCUUCAUUCUCCCUAGUAAAAUUGAAAAUGGAGAAGGACAUGUUUGUAUUUGCCGUGGAUCUCUAUGAGUCAUGAGUGGAACUAUAGGCUAUGGAUUGCUAUGAAAUGUGUCAAAUGGUUGUCCAAUUUAUAGCUUGAUAUAACUCCACAUACAUGGUAUCCUGUGCAAGAGAAUCCAAUAUGACAACUAUGCAAACAAAUGCAUCCAAUGAUCACCAUUCCAAAAAAAAAAAAAAAAGAGGUACGACAGCCUUACAAAUAAAUUCUUGCCAUGGGCAUCCUUCCAAAAUUGAAUUUGGGAUACGUCAGCUUUCCCAAAUAAAUUCUUAUCAUGAUCAACCUUCCCAAAUUGAAUUUAAAAUAUGAUAGCUUUACAAAUAAACUAUUUACAUCAUCAUCCUUUCAAAAUUGAAUUUGAGAUAUGAUAGCUCCGCAAAUAAAUCCUUGCCAUGGUCAUCCUUUGAAAAUUGAAUGCAAGGAAAUAUAGCUUUGCAAAGAAAUUCUUGCCACGGUCACCCUUCCAAGAUUAAAUCUGUUAUGAUUCAACCGCAGAAGAUUAGCUGUCUUUGAUUCUUCCCUCUUGGUCCUAUAAGUUCUUUAGGAAAUGAUUGAUAAGAUAGGUGAUAAGGGGAGGGUGGUUCAAGUAAUUUUAAAUCAAGGCUCGUACCAAAUGUGUUGUGAGAACACGUGGCAUCUUGUCUCCAUGCUUUUAAGCCAAGUUGGCACCAAAUAAUAGGGUCUGAAAAUGCUUGAUUGAUUCUAUUCAGGAAGUUCACACUCCUCGAAGCCCCACCCCCAUGGAAGGGUGGUGGUUUAUGAUCCUCUUUCAGCUGUCUGAACUAAAACUAGUCAACUCGACAAAUAAUAUUAAAAAUUUCUAGUUAAUUAUCAGUUUAACAGAGGUGCUUCAACACUUUAAAGAUCUAUUUGUGCAGGGGCUGAUUGUGUUGAAUAUGAGUUCACUUGACAAGUGGGCAAUGAUGGGGCAAUAAGGUUUUGUUUGGAAUUAUUGUUAGGAGCAGAGUUUUUGAAAAUAGAGCUUUAGAGAAAUAAAAUUUUUGAAAAUAAAAUUUUUAUAAAAAAAUAUUUGAUGUUUGGUAACCAUAUUUAUAAAGUACUUUAAAAUUUUAUUAUAUGUUUGGUAACAAAAAUAAAAAAAUACUUUUGGUAUGAUAAAAUGAUAAUAAAAGAUAUUGUAUAGUAUUAUAUAGUAGAGAAUAAUAUAAUAUAAUAUUAUAUUAUAUUAUAUAUUAAAAUAUUAUUAUAAUAUAUAAUAUUAUUAUCAUAUAAUAUAACAUAGUAUUAUAAUAUAAUAUAAUAUAAUGUAAUAAUAUACUAUAAUAUAAUAUAUUAUAUUAAUAUUAAAAUAUUAUUAUAUUAUAUUAUAAUAUUAUAAUAUUAUGAUAGAUUAUAUUAUAUGUCUAUAACAUAAAUAUUCUUUUAUUUUAAAAUAUUAUUUUAUUAUAUAAUAUUAUUAUCAUAUAAUUUAAUAUAAUAUAAUAUAUACUAUAAUAUAAUAUUAUUAUAAUUAUGAUGUAACAUAUAAUGUAUAUAAUAUAAUGGAUUAUAAUCUAAUCUAAUAAUAAAUUUUAAUAUAACAAAUUAUAUUAUAUCAUUAUAAUAUAAUAAUAUUAUAAUAGAUUAUAUUAUAUGGCUAUAACAAAAAUAUUAUUACAUUUUAAAGUAUUAUUUUAUUUCAUAAUAUAUUAUCAUAUAAUGGAUUAUAAUCUAAUUUAAUAAUAAAUUAUAAUAUAAUAGAUUAUAUUAUAUUAUUAAUAUUGUUAUGUUAUUAUUAGUAUAAUAAUACUAUAGUAGAUUAUAUUAUAUAUUUAUAAUAUAUCAUAAUAUUAAUUUAUUAUUAUAUUAUAUUAAAUUUAUAGUAUAAUAAUAUAAUAUGAUAUAAUUAUAAGAUUUGUUAGUAGAUAUUUUUAUGAUUAUAAAAAAUUAUUUAAAUCAAAAUAACUUUCCGACAUUAGUCAGAAAAUACUUAUGGAAAAAGCUUCAAAAUAAAGCUUUUUCCAAAUAAACCCUUUUAGCUUUUUGACAAAGCCAAAAUAACUUUUCAAUUUUUUAUCAAAUGUCAUUGUAUCACCCUAAAAUAUUUUUUGAGGGUCAAAAAGUACUUUCUGAUACUCUAAAAGUUUAGCUAAAUAGGACCUAAGUCUUCUAACAAAUCCGAAGAUCACCAAUUAACCAAAAUCCUAUUCCUAUUAACUGUAAUUCAUGUUUGGAUGUCUGAAAAGUUGCUGAUUUGUUUUACCACGAUGGCACAUGGAAUGAAAAACUAUUGCAUCAGUUAUUCUCUAUUGAGUUAUUGAUUCCAAUUUGAAUAUCCAAGCCUUUUUUUGUCAAGGUAUAGGUCUUGUACCUCUAUAAAUAGGAGGGUAAGGCUAUAGGUUUAUAUGGCAUUAUAUGUAUGGGAGAUUGUAAGAAAAGGGUGUAAAGAGAUUAGGGUUUGAGAGUUUCUCUCUUGUAUUCUAAUUCUGAAAUAGUGCAUCUCCAUUCCAUCGUCCGUAGACGUAGAUUUCGGUUGAACUACAUAAAUUUUUGUGUUCUCUUCAUGUUUUUAUUUUUAUAUGCCUAUUUGCUCGAUCUACUUAUCUCUGAAAGUCUCUAACAACUGGUAUCAGAGCAUCGUUGAAUUUUUUCUCUUAUUUUGGGAUAAGAUUGAUCAAAGUUCAUGCACAUUGUGGACAAUUUCUGGAUGCAUAUAAGAGCUACCAGUACUAUUUCACUCAUCCCGAGGUCUCAAACCAAAAAACUAACCAGACGAUUAUGUUUCGAGCAUUGAAAAAUGGUGGGAGAUGAAACUUUACAUCAAUCAAAAGUCAGUGAGCCCUCUAAUACCUGAUCAAAGUUUUAGGAUUUCAAUCAAUGCUUCUAACCACAUCAUCAGCCUAUCCUAUCAGAACCCACUAUGUGUUGCAACAAAUCUUUGCCAUAAUAGUGUACACAUCAGCAGCCACCUAUCAGCCACAUCACCCACCACGUAUCUGUCAUAUCAGCCACCACGUUAGCAUCUACCAUGUCACCGGCCACGUCAACUACCAUAUCAGCAUUUGUCACGUCAUCAGCCAUGUCAGCUGCCAUAUCAGCAUCUGUCACAUCAUCGAUCACGUCAGCUGCCACAUUAACAUCUAGUCAGUCUCUACUGCCAUGUCAGCAACUAUUAUCACGUCAACAGCCCUUUGACCAAAGUUUGACAUGUUGACUCAUAUAUUUUUAGGCUAGUUUUUUGAGUUAUAAUACUAGUUCCUAAGAUUUUCGGAUGUGCUAAAUCCACUUUUUAGAUUAUUUUUGUAAAAUUCAGACCCCAAUACAUCUUUAUUUCAAUUUCAAGAUGUUUGGAAAGUUUAAAAUUGAGAAAUUUGAUGGGUUUAAUAAUUUUAAUCUCUAACAAAUGAAGAUGGAAGAUAUUUUGAUUCAGAAUGGGCUUGAUUCAGCUCUUUUAGGAAAGAAAAAGAUAUCCUCAAUGCUGAAAGAAAAGCAAAUACAAGAUCUAGACCACCAAGCAUCCUCAACCAUUCAUCUCUGUCUCUUUGACAGUGUGGUUAGAGAGGUCUUAUUAGAAAAAUCUAUUGUAGAUUUAUAGAAUAAGUUAAAAUCAUUGUAUUUGAUGAAGUUCACCUCCCAUAAAUGAUUUUUAAAGGUCCAACUACAGGAAGGUAUGUCUAUUCAAUUACAUUUCAAUGCGUUUAAUCAGAUUAUUAUUGACCUCAGGGCUUUAGAAGUAAAGUUAGAUGAUGAAGAUGAGGCUAUCAUCCCUUUGUGUUCUCUACCCCCUUCUUUGGCAAGUUUUAGGGAUUCAUUCCUUUAUCAUCGGGAGGAACCAGCUAAGGUAGAGGAACUUAAGUUAGCUUUCCUAUCCAAAGAGCAGAUUGAUAAGCAGCUAGGUGGAGGUGAGAAUGACAACAGGAACUCUAUAUUGAUAGUUUGAAAAAAUAAAAAUAAAGCAAUCCGCUACUAUUAUUGCAAGGAAAAGGGCCAUGUCAAGGCAAAUUGUUUAAAAUUAAAGGCUUGACGCAAAAAAUAUUUGGAGGAUAGCUAAGAUUACAAGAAAAAGGGGGAUGCAAUGGUUGCUCAUGACUUGGAUGAUGGAGAUGUCUACAUAGUAACCAAUAAUGUCAGUGCUGAGCAUGACGACUAGGUUAUUGAUUCCAUCAAUUCCUACCACAUCACUCAUAAUAGAGAUUGCUUCUCCAUUUAUAAACCCAUGAGUGGUAUGGUGCAUCUAGCAAAUAACAACGAAUGCUGGGCAUAGGAAUGGUUCAAAUAAAAUCAUCUAAUGGUUCAAUUAUGACAUUUCAGGAUAUACGUCAUAUUCUCAAUUUGAAGAAAAAAUUGAUUUCAUUGGACUGCCUGUUGUCGAAAGGGUAUAGAGUUUGAGCGUGAGGUGAAAUUAUGCGCAUUUGGAAGGGAUCUCGUCAAAUUUGGAAGGUGAAGUUAUCACAGAUUCUAAUCUAUACAACCUGCGAGGAGCCACAAUUUGGAGAAAUAAAUAUAGUAGAGAUAAGAUCAUGCACCUCAAAGAAAAGAGCAAUUCAUGUCAUAUUAUAAUUGAUUCCAUCAGUAUUUUUGUAUAAGCCUAUUCAGGGGUUUUGGAGAUGGUGGAGCUCUCCAUGCUUUGAAUUGAAGUCAAGGUAGAGAUUGUUGAGUUAUUAACUCUGAUUCAAAUGUCCAAGCAUUUUUUGUCAAGAUAGAGAUCUUAUACCUCUAUAAAUAUGAGGGUAAGGUUAUGGGUUUUUGUGUGCGUGGUAUGUACGGAAGAUUAUGAGAAAAUGGUGCAAAGUGAUUAGGAUUUGAGAGUUUUUCUCUUUGUAUUCCAAUCCUAAAAUAGUACAUCUGUAUUUCAUCACCCGUGGAUGUAGGCUUCGAUUGAACCAUAUAAGUUUCUGUAUUCUCUCUGUGUUUUUAUUUCUGUGUGCCUAUUUGCUCGAUCUAUUUGUCUCCAAAAAUCUCCAACAUUCUCUAUAGACAUUGUUGCACAAAUCAUGGCAAUCCCUGUUCCAAGGAAUCAAUGCAAUGACAUUUUGGAAUAAUUCAAGGACCAUGAAGCUGAAAUCCAAAGAUGUUUAUAAGGUCCCUCAAAAGGAAUCUGAAAUUGAAGAUGAUAUUAAUUAAUCUCAGCUUGCUGUGGAAGGUUGAUGUGCAAGAAAUUGCUAGAGCCAGUUGAGGUGCGAGUAAUUGCUCCACUCUAGAGGCCUAAUCCAAGAUCAAGAUGCUAGCUACAAUAUUUGUCAAACUGGUACAGAGGAUAUCCAGCAUGCCCUUUUACAUUGCCCUCAUGCUUUAGAGGUAGGGAUUGAGCUAAUGAAACAUCACCCAGCCAUUCCUCGAUUCCCUUUAUUGAAAGCUACUCUGAGUUCAAUCGGACUCUCAUUUGUUAUACCACAUAGGCUAUAUGGAACUUAAGAAAUGAAUGCUAAUUUCAGAGUAAACAAAAUAAUGAUGUUACCGUUUAUUAUCUUGUCUAUAUAUUAGCUGAUGAAUAUUUCAGCAUGACAAAAAGCUCGUUUGACACUAAUGGUCUGCAGAACUGGGAAACCAGCAGCUUAGUGAGUCUUAGUCAUGGUUCUCCCUCCCUGUGGUCUAAUCAAAGUGAAUUUUGAUGCUUGUUAGUCUGAAGAUUAUGCUGGAAGCAGCUUCGUCAUAAGAAACUGCAGCCGUAAUGUUAUGCAUGCUGCCUCAAGGAGAAUUCACACAGUUUCUGUCCUGCUUGCCGAAUUACAAGCUACAUAAAGUAGCCUUGAUUUAAAUCAAUAUGAAUUCUACCAAAAAAAAAAAAUCAAUAUGGCUUGAAGGUGACUUAGCUGUAGUUAUUCAAUGGAUUUCUGAUAUUCAACAUAGCAGCUCUCUGCAGCAUAUUUUUCAGCAACAUCACCCCCUCUUCUCUCAUAUAAGGCUUGCUUAUCUUCUUCGAAUUUUUUCAUGGCCUCUAAUGUCUUUAGAUAAGCUAAUCAGCAGGCUAAUUAAUAGAUUGGCUUAUCUCCCUGGUGAUUUCGCAUCCGCCUUGCUCUUGCCCCAUGUAUGAAACCUAAUCUUUUGUUCUAGCUGACAGAAUUAGAGAUGCCCCAAAAAACUUCUAUUCACAUCUUUCAAGGCACAAACUUAUCAUGUAAUAUUGUUGCAGUUCCUUGACAUAUUUUUGGACCAGUGAGGGAAGACAUUUGUCCGUAUCAGACAGAUUUAUAUGUUAAAUGUGCCUACAAAUAUAUUCAGAAACCACCAUGAUAAUUUAAGCAUCCUAGGAAGCUUGAAGAUUUAUGAUUAUGCCUCUUGGGGCCGAUGUUUUUGGCAGGUGGUCAGUAUUUCUCUUUGGUGGUAGUGAAGUCAAACACAAUCGAGAUGCUUGAACAUCUUUGGAAUUUUAAGUCUGACACCAACUUAGGCAUUAGAGACAUGGAACACAUAAUAUGGAGCAAUUUAUAUCUGACUUUGAGUUAUAAAAUCCAUUGCUUAUGUCAUCAAAAAAAAUAUCCAUUGUCAUUUUAUAUAGCAUUUGUUGCUGCAAGGCUCCGAGGAGGUACUGAUGUGGCUGAAGUUAGACACUGUCGGAGAUCCGCAACAUCAAGGAGUACCUGCAAAUGAAAUCCACACUCGCCAAAGGUGUUUCAGGAGGGGAUCCUCCAAUACCUAAGUUAGUCAGAGCUUUGAGAACAGUAGAAGGAAAAAACAGCAAGCUAGAAAAGUGAAAAGGAUUCUCCUUUCUCCUCCUUAAGGGCUUGCCCUUCUCUCGAGUUGCUUGUAUUUUGCUUGCUUACGUGAGAGUUUCCUUCAUACUUUUUUUUGUAUAGAUAUU
rnacentral:lncRNA from 1 species